UACGUAGGCAGCGAGCGUUGUUCGGAGUUACUGGGCGUAAAGGGCGCGUAGGUGGUUUGAUAAGGGUGUGGUGAAAGUCCGGGGCUCAACCCCGGAUCUGCCGUGCCGACUGUCAAACUCGAGGACUGUAGAGGCAGACGGAAUUCCGGGUGUAGCGGUGGAAUGCGUAGAGAUCCGGAGGAAGACCGGUGGCGAAGGCGGUCUGCUGGGCAGUUUCUGACACUGAGGCGCGACAGCGUGGGGAGCAAACAGGG
rnacentral:rRNA from 1 species